AACGAACGCUGGCGGCAUGCCUAACACAUGCAAGUCGAACGAUACCUUCGGGUCUGGUGGCGCACGUGUUCGUAACGCGUGGGAACCUGCCCUUGGGUUCGGCAUAACUCCCCGGAAGGGGUGCUAAUACCGGAGAAUAUUUUCGGACCAAAGAGUUAUCGCCUUUGGAUGGGCCCGCGUUGGAUUAGCUAGUUGGUUUGGUAAAAGACUACCACGGCGACGAUCCUUGGCUGGUCUGGGAGUAUCAUCAGCGAGACUGGGACUCGGACACGGCCCAGACUGCUACGAGAGGCGGCAGUGAGGAAUAAAGGGGAGUAGGCGAAAGCCUGAUCCGGCGCGGCCGGGAGAGUGAUGAACGGCUUGGAGUCGUAUAGCUCUUUUAAAGAAGAUAAUGAUGACGGAACCGGAGGGAUAGGCCCCGGUUACCACCGU
rnacentral:rRNA from 1 species